GGCCGCAGUAUUUUAACUGUGCAAAGGUAGCAUAAUCAUUAGUCUUUUAAUUGAAGGCUUGUAUGAAUGGUUGGACGAGAUAUUAACUGUUUCAUUUUAAUUUUUUUUUGAAUUUAAUUUUUUAGUUAAAAAGCUAAAAUUUAUUUAAAAGACGAGAAGACCCUAUAAAUCUUUAUAUUGGAACUAUUAUUAUUAUUUAGAUUUAUUUUAUAAUAAUAGUUAAUAAUAUUUUAUUGGGGUGAUAUUAAAAUUUGUAAAACUUUUAAUUUUUAAUUACAUUAAUUUAUGAAUAAAUGAUCCGUUUUUAACGAUUAAAAAUACAAGUUACUUUAGGGAUAACAGCGUAAUUUUUUUGGAGAGUUCUUAUCGAUAAAAAAGAUUGCGACCUCGAUGUUGGAUU
rnacentral:rRNA from 1 species